rnacentral:rRNA from 1 species
CCUACGGGUGGCUGCAGUGGGGAAUAUUGGACAAUGGGGGGAACCCUGAUCCAGCCAUGCCGCGUGUGUGAAGAAGGCCCUCGGGUUGUAAAGCACUUUCAGUGAGGAAGAACGCCUGGUGGUUAAUACCCAUCAGGAAAGACAUCACUCACAGAAGAAGCACCGGCAUAACUCCGUGCCAGCAGCCGCGGUAAUACGGAGGGUGCGAGCGUUAAUCGGAAUUACUGGGCGUAAAGCGCGCGUAGGUGGCUUGAUAAGCCGGUUGUGAAAGCCCCGGGCUCAACCUGGGAACGGCAUCCGGAACUGUCAAGGUAGAGUGCAGGAGAGGAAGGUAGAAUUCCCGGUGUAGCGGUGAAAUGCGUAGAGAUCGGGAGGAAUACCAGUGGCGAAGGCGGCCUUCUGGACUGACACUGACACUGAGGUGCGAAAGCGUGGGUAGCAAACAGGAUUAGAUACCCUAGUAGUC